CAGUCGACGGCAGCACGGGAGCAAUCCUGGUGGCGAGUGGCGAACGGGUGAGUAAUAUAUCGGAACGUGCCCAGUCGUGGGGGAUAACGCAGCGAAAGCUGUGCUAAUACCGCAUACGAUCUCUGGAUGAAAGCGGGGGACUCGCAAGAGCCUCGCGCGAUUGGAGCGGCCGAUAUCAGAUUAGCUAGUUGGUGGGGUAAAGGCCCACCAAGGCGACGAUCUGUAGCUGGUCUGAGAGGACGACCAGCCACACUGGAACUGAGACACGGUCCAGACUCCUACGGGAGGCAGCAGUGGGGAAUUUUGGACAAUGGGCGCAAGCCUGAUCCAGCAAUGCCGCGUGCAGGAUGAAGGCCUUCGGGUUGUAAACUGCUUUUGUACGGAACGAAAAGGUCUGCCUUAAUACGGUGGGCACAUGACGGUACCGUAAGAAUAAGCACCGGCUAACUACGUGCCAGCAGCCGCGGUAAUACGUAGGGUGCGAGCGCUAAUCGGAAUUACUGGGCGUAAAGCGUGCGCAGGCGGUUAUAUAAGACAGAUGUGAAACCCCCGGGCUCAACCUGGGACCUGCAUUUGUGACUGUAUAGCUAGAGUACGGUAG
rnacentral:rRNA from 1 species